rnacentral:rRNA from 1 species
AACGAACGCUGGCGGCAGGCUUAACACAUGCAAGUCGAACGAAGUCUUCGGACUUAGUGGCGCACGGGUGAGUAACACGUGGGAAUAUACCUCUUGGUGGGGAAUAACAUCGGGAAACUGAUGCUAAUACCGCAUACGCCUCGGGAAGGAUUAUCGCCGAGAGAUUAGCCGCGUCCGAUUAGCUAGUUGGUGAGGUAAUAGGCUCACCAAGGCGACGAUCGGUAGCUGGUCUGAGAGGAUGAUCAGCCACACUGGGACUGAGACACGGCCCAGACUCCUACGGGAGGCAGCAGUGGGGGAAUAUUGGACAAUGGGCGAAAGCCUGAUCCAGCCAUGCCGCGUGAGUGAUGAAGGCCUUAGGGUUGGUAAAGACUCUUUCACCCACCGACGAUGAUGACGGUAGUGGGAGAAGAAGCCCGGCUAACUUCGUGCCAGCAGCCGC